rnacentral:rRNA from 1 species
GAAGGUGGCAAGCGUUGUUCGGAAUCAUUGGGCUUAAAGCGCGCGUAGGGCGGACUGGAAAGUGUCUUGUGAAAACCCUCGGGCUUAACCGAGGAAUUGCUUGGCAAACUAUCAGUCUUGAGGCAAGUAGGGGUACAUGGAACUCUUAGUGGAGCGGUGGAAUGCGUAGAUAUUAAGAGGAACGCCAAUGGUGAAGACAGUGUACUGGGCUUGUACUGACGCUGAGGUGCGAAAGCGUGGGGAGCGAACGGGAUUAGAUACCCCGGUAGUCCACGCCGUAAACGAUGUCUACUAGAUCGUGGGAGUUCUGACACUUUCACGGUCGAAGCAAAAGUGAUAAGUAGACCGCCUGGGGAGUACGGUCGCAAAGGCUA